ensembl:lncRNA
GUUCUUGUUACACGUUCCUUCUGCUUUUCUCUGAAUAUGGGAGACUCUCUAUAUGUUCUUGUUACACGUUCCUUCUGCUUAUCUCUGAAUAUGGGAGACUCUCUAUAUGUUCUUGUUACACGUUCCUUCUGCUUAUCUCUGAAUAUGGGAGACUCUCUAUAUGUUCUUGUUAUACGUUCCUUCUGCUUAUCUCUGAAUAGGGGAUUGUCUUUAUAUGUCCUUAUGACACGUUCUCUUUUUCUCUCUCUAAUUUUAGCACUUUCCCUAUACAUCUUUCUAAAAUGUUCUCUCUGUUUCUCCUUAUAGGUAGCAUUUAAUUUAUACAAUUCAUUUUUGUACAGACUCCUUUUCUGUCUGUGAUCAGGAUCAUUACACUUCUUAGUUGAGUUUUUUUUCUUUGUCUUGAAGCUUUCAUCAAACCUGUACAUCUGCCUUUCUUUCGUCUUCUGAUUUUCCUUUCUCUGUGGUAGCUUUUGUUGGGUCAAUAAUCUUCUCCUCAUUUUUUGCCUUUCAUGUUUACUAUAUUUCAGCAGUUUAUCUGAGAGUUCCUCUGUUAUCUUAGUUGAACUGGAGGCACUGUUUGAAUCAUUCUGAGGAACAGAAUCUGAUGUUACCUGAGUUUCUCUCACAGAGGAUGCAGAGGUUUCUUUUUCUAAAUACUCAGAAGGACGAUGGUUCAGCUCAGCAGCUGUCUCAUUUGAAUAAUCCACUCUGGAUGACAUCACUUCAGUAGCUAAAGUGUCGGCCACAGUUUUCUGUGUCUGCUCAGUGGACUUUGGGGUUUCAAAUUCAGGUUCAUUUAAAGCUGGUGCUGGAACAGUUGUAGCUGUUUGUCUGUAUUCAUUAGCAUCUCUUUGGUCAGCAGCGUUUUCACUGUGAAACUCGAUGGGCUGUAGCUCAUAAGUACAGCUUGGUGCGAUGCUAAACAUUCUGUACAAACGUUUGAUCCUGUCAAUCAUGUCAUUAAGACGUGUGAAUUUCAACAUAACUGCAGUUCCACCACUUGCACUUAGCGACAAUGGCAUACCAGUAGACUUACGUGGGUGAGGGUCAAAAUAUGCAUAUUCACCUGAAGUCAGCCUGCUAACAGCGAUGACUGUUCCUCCCAUGACUAGCAAAGCGUAGCGAACGUCUGAAGCCAAACACUGUAAUCCCUGUUCAAGGCUCGGAAAGUGAUCUGUACCAUCAAAUGUGCCGUAAUGAGCAAACUGAGACAUGUCGACUUGAUACUCGUGUGUGCGGCUGGUAACAACUGAGGGAAGUUCAUCGCAGGCUAGAAACACACUGUUCACAAACCUCAGUCUGGCAUCUGAAUAGACGGCAUGGCCUUUGUCCAACACACGGUUUAGAUCUGCUCUGGUAAUAAAUUCAUCCUCCUCUUUUAGAAACGGGGUUUCUUCAGCUGGAUGUUCUGCAGCAGUCAGGAAACAGGAAGUCUGGGUCCUCAGGCACUUCUCGAUGACAAUACUAACUGAAUACUUACACUGAGUGACAAAAUGGGUUUGUCCUUAAAUAAUAGUACUAUAAACUUGCAGUCAAAUGUUAUAGCCAAUGAAACAGACUAACAGACUGGAUCUAAUUUAUUAUUUAUCUGAAUGUAUGUAUUACAAAAUAACCAGAUUAUCUUAUUACAAAUAAACUUAUAAAGAGGUGAUAUUUUAUACAAUUGAUCAAAGUAAGCCAAACUAGCAGUCCAAACUAAAGUCUAAUGCAAAAUUAAAAUGACAAAUGUAGGGCUGUGUAAGUAGUUUCUACUAUAAGUUCUACUGUACUGUAAUUCUACUACUGUAUAUUCAACUUGUAAUUUCCAGCAAAAUGACUGAAUGUGAGAGAGCUUAAUGACAGGAAAGAAAGAGCAGUGAGAGCAGAGAUCUCUCAGAAUUCUGUAACAGAUAGAUCAAGUUCUGGUAACUUGGAUUUCUGAAAAUUGGAUUCUGAAAGGAUUCUCAAAACUUGGAUUCUCAAAUUAGAUAGAGCAGUAGAGAUAGAGGGAUACAAGAUGGAAUGGCUUUCAAAUUAGAUAGAGCGGUAGGGAUAGAGGGAUACAAGAUAGAAUGGCUUUCAAAUUAGAUAGAGCGGUAGGGAUAGAGGGAUACAAGAUAGAAUGGCUUUCAAAUUAGAUAGAGCAGUAGGGAUAGAGGGAUACAAGAUAGAAUGGCUUUCAAAUUAGAUAGAGCAGUAGGGAUAGAGGGAUACAAGAUAGAAUGGCUUUCAAAUUAGAUAGAGUUGGGAGAGUGAUAGGAUAGACAGAAUUGCUUAUAAUGAUAGAGAGAGAGAGAGGAUCUUCUGCAGCAGGUCACCUGUAAGACACAAAAGGCCUGGAAUUAGUCAUAUUUCCAACAUGCUUGGAUUUACCAUAUUCUUCAGACUAUAUGGCACACCUAAAAUCCUGUCAUUUUCUCAAAAACAUACAAUGUGCCUAGUGUAUCGAUUCUGGUUAUGCUUACUGACCUCAAACGGGAUUUCUGUGGUACACAGCGCUCAAAAUUCUGUCAAAUAUUUUAGUAAUACUUCGUAAGCUACAAAGCUGCGCUGCUUGAUGUAUUGUCAGAGCAUUAUGGCUACCAUAGUCAGGACCCUCGCAGAGUAAUUCGUACGGUGCUUCAACAUAACAUUAUGGUGUGUGUACAAGGACCUGGCACGUGCUAAGAGACAUGCUUAAGAAGCAGAUUUCAAACUGAUCAACCCAUGAAGAGUUUGAUGGAUUUGUGGAUGAGGAAUGAACUGAAAAAGUGAGUGUAUUGUUCUGUAUUUUAUGUGUUACAACUGAA